GGUAAGUGGUGUAGCAAUACAUCACCUAGAGUGACGUACGGGUGCGUAACACGUAUGCAACCUACCUGUAACAGGAGUAUAGCUCGGGGAAACUCGAAUUAACCCUCCAUAAGAUUGUGCUUUGGCAUCAAAGAGCAAUUAAAACUGAGGUGGUUACAGAUGGGCAUGCGUCUGAUUAGUUAGUUGGCGGGGUAACGGCCCACCAAGACGAUGAUCAGUAGGGGAACUGAGAGGUUGAUCCCCCACACUGGCACUGAGAUACGGGCCAGACUCCUACGGGAGGCAGCAGUAGGGAAUAUUGGUCAAUGGGUGAGAGCCUGAACCAGCCAUGCCGCGUGCAGGAAGAAGGCCUUCUGGGUUGUAAACUGCUUUUACUAGGGGAUAAAACGACUGUGCGCAGUUAAUUGAAGGUACCUGGUGAAUAAGCCACGGCUAACUACGUGCCAGCAGCCGCGGUAAUACGUAGGUGGCAAGCGUUGUCCGGAUUUAUUGGGUUUAAAGGGUGCGUAGGCGGCCCUGUAAGUCAGUGGUGAAAUGCUCUAGCUUAACUAGAGAGGUGCCAAUGAUACUGCAGGGCUUGAGUACAGAUGAGGUAGGCGGAAUUGACGGUGUAGCGGUGAAAUGCAUAGAUAUCGUCAAGAACACCUAUAGCGAAGGCAGCUUACUGGGCUGUAACUGACGCUGAGGCACGAAAGUGUGGGGAUCAAACAGGAUUAGA
rnacentral:rRNA from 1 species